AUCGCUUCUCGGCCUUUUGGCUAAGAUCAAGUGUAGUAUCUGUUCUUAUCAGAUUCUAUCUCCCUCUCUCCCUCUCUGCCCCUCCACUGCUCGUGCUCUGUCUCUCUCUGUCUCAAAAAUAAAUAAACCAAAAUAAUUUAAAAAAUAAAUAAAUGUGUAAAUUUUAACUCAUGAAAAUCACAUAUAUCAAUUUUACGAGUCUAUUAAUGUUCUCACUGGUGAAGGGUCAUUGGAU
rnacentral:snRNA from 1 species